CAUUGAUUUAACGGAGUUAUACUCGCAUAAAAUUGUAGCAGUACGGUGGUGAAUCAAGCCCUCAACAUUUUUUGGGAGUAAAAGAUGGACUGUCCUUCAUAAAUAAAGGCAGUAACUAUAUAAUGGGUUCUGAAAGCAGCAGAGCUUCAAAAAAAUUCAAUUUAAAAAAAACAAAGAUCUGUUAUGGUGGCAUUCUUAUAAUGUAAUCAAAGUGUGAAGUCUGCAGUUCAGCCUGAGAAGUGAGGGUGAGAUAGGAGCAAAUGGGUGCAGUCUAGCAAGCUGUGCAGUUAUGUAUUUUUAAUCAACCUUCAUUGAUUAAAAUGUAUAAUUUUUUCACUAUAAAGGUAGAAAGACAGAUUCUGAUCUCAGCUACAUUUAAAAUUUAGAAUAAUUUUCAGAAUUACUCCAUCUUUUCACAGGUGUAAUUAAAACACAAUCUAACCAAAGACUCCAGUUCUGACACAUAUGUCAUUUGCACCACUACAAGCACAAAGAAACUCCAGAGAAGGUAAACCCUAAUCCAGCAAAGCAUUUACCCACAAGUUCCAAUUUAAUUCCAUUGACUUCAGUGAGAUUACUCACAGGCUAGAAGUGAAGCAUGUUCUAAAGAGCUUUUUUGGAUUUAGGACUCAGUGACCACGCAAUAAGGCUCUCAAUUUUCCUUUGCCAUUACAUAGCUUUGCUUUGAAUAUAUUACUUUUAUAAGUGACUGUAGUGUGCAAGAAAGCUGCCUGAAGGAUGAAGGAGUCCGUUUAUUAAUUGAACAGGUACAGUAUGAAAAAUAGAACAAGCCUUCCCUCCUUGCACCUGGUCUGGUCUGGUGGGAUGAAGUUGAGUGAGAGGAUAAUUAUUGUUCCAGGCUCAUUCCAUCCUUGGACUCUCUACAGAGAUUGUUAAGAAGGCUGCCAGCUAGCAUCCUCAACAAUGGUGAUUUUGGGAUGAGGCACCCGUCCACUAAAUCUAGACAGAGACCAAGUCAUUCCAUCCAAUGACUUUUUGUCACUAUCACCCAGGAUGGGAUUCAAACUGAUACUGUAGAGGUGAAAAUCUUCCUAUCUUACUACUCAUUUUCUGAACCACUGUGACAGGGAGAGCAUACCCCACACUGAAGGGAGGGGGGUCUAGAACUCUGUGAGCUGACAAAGCCCCUUCACUUUUCCCAGACUGGGCAUGCUCCAAGUGCUGGAGCAGUAUAAGAGGCAGCAGAACAGCCCAGUCAGGGUGGACUACCAGAAGGGAAGGAGCCCAGGCUGGAGUGCCUGAGUUGCCCCUGCAGCCCCAGCCGCCACAGCCACCCAGCAGCAGCCACCGCAGCAGCAGCCCCAGUGACAGCCCCGAACAGGGAGGCCAUCUGCGGGGGUUGGACACGCCGAACAAUGCCUGGAGAGCUGAGCAGCGCUAUGGAUGCUUCUUUUAAAGUACUAAAUUAUGAAACAAAAGAACAGAUGGAAGGAAGAAAAAGAAGAAAGAUGUUGAGCCCUCAAAGGGCCUGCCUAGCAACAUCCAAGGGAAAAGAAGGGGAAGUCUUCCAGGAGGUCUGCAGGAACAUGAAGAUCUGGAUCCCCACAACCACAUGCUGAUCCAAUUCUUACCUCACAUGUCUCUUGGAAAGAACACUGCCUGGUGAUAUUCUUGAGGUUGUAGUAACUGUUCUUGGUACUGAAAUUAACAUGAAGAGCCCAUUGCAAAAAGUAUUUGUAUGCCUGGUAUUAUUGUGCAAAUAAAUGCAUUUAAAUACCUGCCUUCCACCCUGCUAUGGUUUCAAGACAUUUAGAACAUAUUGCCAAAGAAUGCAGUGAUGUAUCCCAGUAUUUCCCUCUAGUUUCUCUGUGAUUGCUGUUAAGAUGUCUUAAUUUUUUAAUUAAUUUAAUGUUAUGAUCAUAACUGUUACCUUCCUUUGUUAAUAAAAUCAUAUUUAAUUGUCUAAUUUUGGUGAAAAUCUUAUAUUGGCCAUAGAAGAGCCAAG